rnacentral:lncRNA from 1 species
GGGGGGGGGCAGUACCCAGGGGUGAAGGGGGAGUACCCAGGGGUGAAGAGGGGAGUGGGGGAUAGAGAAAAGAUGGGACUUCUAUUGGAUUCAUCCCAAAUGGCGCCCUAUUCCCUACGUAAUGCACUACUUUUGACCAGAGCCAGGGCCCUGGUCGAAAGUACCGCACUACACAGAGUUUAGGGAGGCGAGCCUUGAACACCUAACGCCUCUCUGAAGGAGAACCCGUGAACCAGUCUCUGUCUGUCCAGUCUGCAUUCCCCCUUAGUGUGACUAAUGCUACAUUCAUAACUAAGUGGAAAGGUGGACAUACCAGUUUCUCGUUGAGAAAUGCUGAUUGGCUAAUGGCUAACAAGCUGCGUCAAACCAUCAACUAAAAAGUACAGCUUUUUAAAACAAAUUAUAGUGUUCAAAAACCUUUUUUAAUAGAUUUCUUUUUAUAAAUAAUGUUUUGUUGCAUUUAACUGCCAUAAAAAAAUGCUGUUAUCGAGAUCGUUUCCUUAGUAGGUGACAUCAGAGGUCAGCCGGAGGGAGGGAGCGGAACAGCGGAGGGAGGGAGCGGAACAGCUAACGACUUUCAGACUUUUUUUGCCUUUUUUUGGUUUUCCUAAUGAUGAUGAGGGUGGCUGACGAGAAAUGGUUUUGAAAACCGAUCUUGAAAAGCACAGUAGAUGAAUGGUUUGAUUUGAAAAUAAUGCUUUGUAUUAUAAUUAGACAAAUUUAGUCCAAAGGGUUAUAGUGUAUUAAAUUAAGUUGUAUUUUUCUGUAUAGAUUUUUUUUUGGUAAGUUAUUUUCGAUUUAUUAUCGCAGCAAACAAGAUGAUUAUUUGUAAAAAAAAGUGGUGGAAAAACUGCGUAAAAAUGGACCUUCUGUCAUAUUCUAUCAAUUUGAAAUAUUAUGGAUUUAACUUUUGGUCCCCGUAGUUUCAUCAGAACUUAAUGAAAUUAUAUCAUGCGGUUCAAGAAAACCAAAUACAGACAGAUUGUACAUACAAGUUAACAACAGAGUUUCCUUUCCUAUUUAUUGUGUGUUUUCUCCCUGUCUGGUCUGGACUACCAUCCGCUAUAAGUUUGUUUGAGAAGAGGAGAGUCAGACCGGUAUGAUACAGGAGUGGGUGGGUUUAUCUCUGUCCGGGCUCUAGUGGGUGGGUGUAGGCCGAGGGCGGGCUGUAUAUACAGUGUACAGAUUAUCGCUUGCAUCUCAGCCUUGAGCGUAUAGCUAGCACCAUGAUAGAAAGACGGGACAAAACUCAACAACAGCCAUACAGUUAUAUAACUCAACAAAACUAUCAAAUGGAACAAGUGUGCUUUCGAUGUUGAUUGGAGUCUUGGUGCUUCAUACAAGCUGCUAGGUACAAACCGCUCUGGUCUGUCAGUGUGAUGUAAGUAAACAAGCAAUAACGAGUACUAAGAAUCUAUUUUUUUUUCCUGGACAUGUUAUGCUCCGUCAGACUCAGUAUUAAAAAAACAGCUACUUUUUCUUUUACUGGUUUGUAUUGAAAAAAACUCUAAUCCAGAUUAAACGUUCCUCUCAGAUUAUGCAGCGGCGCUGUCAUGGGUUUAGAGACGGCAGGGAGGGAGUGUGGUGCUGAACCCUGGAUAUUAACCCUCAUAUUAACAGAUAGGAUGCAUCAUAAAAUGGCACACUAUUCCCUACAUAGUGCACUACUUUUGACCAGAGCCCUAUGGCAUCAUAUUCCCCCCGCCCCAACAGUAACUGGUAUGUUGUCCAGUCUCUCUGGAUCCUGUGUGCCUUUUGGGAUGCAGCCAUUCCCUCUCUGACCACGGGUUUCUAGUCGAGGAUAGAGCAGAGACCUAUUGGGCCCUCAUCCAAUUCUUCCUUCCUUUAAGUAGUCACUUGGUAUGCCAUGACUGGAUAAGUGACACACAUGUAAUGGGCUGUGUCCCAAAUGGCACCCUAUGCCCUUUAUUGUGCAGUAUUUUUGUCUGGGGCCAGUAGGGAUCUGGUCAGAAGUGGUGUUCUAUAUAGGUAAUACUGGAUGGAGUCCACAGAAUCAACUAUGUGGUUCAGAUGGCUGGAGGUUGGAGCACGGUGCUAGGAGCACUAGGAGCACGGUGCUAGGAGCGCUAGGAGCACGGUGCUAGGAGCGCUAGGAGCACGGUGCUAGGAGCGCUAGGAGCACGGUGCUAGG